ACCUCGGUAGUUUGAUUGGUAGAGCCACAGGGCGUAAACCUGAGAGACCUGGGUUCGUAUCCCAGUCGACGUU